rnacentral:tRNA from 1 species
GCGCUCGUAGUUUAAUGGAUAAAAUGCAACGUUGCGGACGUUGAGACUGCAGGUUCGAUUCCUGCCGAGCGCACAA